ACAUGCAAGUCGAGCGAACAGAUAAGGAGCUUGCUCCUUUGACGUUAGCGGCGGACGGGUGAGUAACACGUGGAUAACCUACCUAUAAGACUGGGAUAACUUCGGGAAACCGGAGCUAAUACCGGAUAAGAUUUUGAACCGCAUGGUUCAAUAGUGAAAGACGGCCUUGCUGUCACUUAUAGAUGGAUCCGCGCCGUAUUAGCUAGUUGGUAAGGUAACGGCUUACCAAGGCAACGAUACGUAGCCGACCUGAGAGGGUGAUCGGCCACACUGGAACUGAGACACGGUCCAGACUCCUACGGGAGGCAGCAGUAGGGAAUCUUCCGCAAUGGGCGAAAGCCUGACGGAGCAACGCCGCGUGAGUGAUGAAGGUCUUCGGAUCGUAAAACUCUGUUAUCAGGGAAGAACAAACGUGUAAGUAACUGUGCACGUCUUGACGGUACCUGAUCAGAAAGCCACGGCUAACUACGUGCCAGCAGCCGCGGUAAUACGUAGGUGGCAAGCGUUAUCCGGAAUUAUUGGGCGUAAAGCGCGCGUAGGCGGUUUUUUAAGUCUGAUGUGAAAGCCCACGGCUCAACCGUGGAGGGUCAUUGGAAACUGGAAAACUUGAGUGCAGAAGAGGAAAGUGGAAUUCCAUGUGUAGCGGUGAAAUGCGCAGAGAUAUGGAGGAACACCAGUGGCGAAGGCGACUUUCUGGUCUGUAACUGACGCUGAUGUGCGAAAGCGUGGGGAUCAAACAGGAUUAGAUACCCUGGUAGUCCACGCCGUAAACGAUGAGUGCUAAGUGUUAGGGGUUUCCGCCCCUUAGUGCUGCAGCUAACGCAUUAAGCACUCCGCCUGGGGAGUACGACCGCAAGGUUGAAACUCAAAGGAAUUGACGGGGACCCGC
rnacentral:rRNA from 1 species